rnacentral:lncRNA from 1 species
CCUACAGUAGGCUCAGUGGAAUACAACAGCUCAUCAAGGUUUGGUUAUCUACAGAUGUAUAGACUAUAGUUGGGCAGUAAGCAGUACCAGGACAAAGUUUGUAAAAUACAUCUUCAACCAGGUCUGUCCACGUGACCAUCGUCAGUUCAUGCGCACCAGGUCUGUCCACGUGACCAUCAUCAGUUCAUGCCCAGCAGAUCGCUGUCGUCUCCGAAGAAGCCUGCCACGAUGGUGCCAACAUCUUCCAAGCCUACACCAAUGCAGAGGGUACUCUUAUUCUGUAGGGAGCCUUCUUCCGGGACCUCGCUCCGCAGCCGCACGUUCGGGCCUACCCCGCACUUCCCCAAGCACUUGCAUCCGACCACCGCGCCGCCCGUGCCAACCUGCUUCUCGAACUCCUGCAGUACGGUGAGCGAGCCUGACUUCUUGCAUUUGCCACCCAUGCAGACCUCGAUUCUGUUCAACGCUGGUUUCUCGACAACUGCGAUGCUGGUAGCAGUGCACUGAAUGGCAGUUGUUGGCCCAGAAGAGAUCUGUGCACCCAGUGCGGCGGAAUCUGGGAUUUGAGGCACUAUGAUGGGGAAAACUGUGGUUGCAGGAGGUGUUCGAGGUGCCG